UACGAAGUUCAUUCUGAAAUGGAGUGGUCUGUGUAUUGCAUAGUUGUAGAGAUCGGAUUUCACUCAAAACCCACCAAAUGACUCCUCCCACGAUAUUAUGAUGUUCCCUAAGUUUUAGACUCAACCCGACAUCUUUUGGUCCACGAAAUUGGACAAUUCAGGUUCGUACGAAGUUUAUUCUAAAAUGGAAUUGUUGGUGUAUUGCAUAGUUCUAGAGGGUGGAUUUUACUGAAAACCCACCAAGUGACUCCUCCC
rnacentral:lncRNA from 1 species